CGCACGCCACUUCCCUCAGCCUGUAGAACUUCCGGCAGCAACUGCAAUUAGGGGUAGUCCAGUGCUAAAUUGUCGCAGCCUUGAAAAUAUUCUGCUUCGUUAUUUCGGGCACUCCACAGAUUCUGUUGCGAAGGCAGCCAUCUUUAGUUCGUCUUUCCUAGAGAGCGUUGAGAAGAUUCUGCUCCAUUUUUUCUGAUUAUGGAUUCUGUUCAGAAGGAAGCCGAAUUUUAAGUCAUCGUUCUAGGAUAGAUUCAGCUCCAUUUUCUCUGGUGGUAGAUCUCCAUGGAUGCUAUUGAGAAGGUACUUCUCAAAGUCCACGAGGACAAGGACAUCUUUCCACCGAAUGCCACCUGGUUUAUAACAAAAGCAUGAAAAACAAACAGGAAUUUCUCAAUGCAGAAAGGACUGAAGCUGUCAAAGGUGUGCUUUUUUUCUGCACAAACAAGUUUCCAUUGAAUGAUAGAAUAAAGAGAUACUGACUUCCCCGGAGCCUCCAAACUUGAGUAGUCAGCAGGCAUUGGGAUCCGUGGAAGGCUUGUUAAAUCCAAAUAGAUUGGUCCUACUCCAUCCGCAGAGUUGCUGACGAGGUGCGUCCAGGCCUUCUCCUCACCUCUCAGGGAGAUAUACCAUGCAGUGCCUUCAGUUAUGGUGUUGUGACUGAGGAUGCUUCGGUCAGACAUGUCCCUGAAAACCUGCAUAGAGUUUAAGAACACAGAUGAAAAAUCACCAAGUAAAAAAGGAGCAUAGGGAGGAAUCCAGGAGAAACCAGGCUCAAGCUUCCAGCCACCCUCUUCCAGUGGAGUCAAGUGCACUGCACUUAAUUCUCCCAGCCAGGUGUGCGGCCACCUGUGCCAAGUGUUCCCAACCAGCUGCACUUCAAGGGAAGUUAUUGAAUAUGUCCUAUCCAACUAAAACAAGGAAAUGAUGAAAAAAAUAAAAUCACUUUCCAGAGGCCUCAGGGCUAACUGGAGACAGAGCUCAGACUGCAACUGAGAAAAGUUGGACUCCAAAACCUGUACUCUGAGCUUUACUGCAUGAGAAAGUUAUUGAAAUGUGCCUUGUGACAUUCAGAAUAAGUGACUUUUCAGAGGUCUCAGAGUCAGUAAGAGACAGAACUCAGAUUGUAACCAAGAAGAGCUGAACUCCAAACUUCUGUGUCCGGAAUUGGUGGGUUCUUGGUCUCACUGACUUCAAGAAUGAAGCGGCAGACCCUCGCGG
rnacentral:lncRNA from 10 species